GAUGAACGCUGGCGGCGUGCCUAAUACAUGCAAGUCGAGCGAACAGACGAUGAGCUUGCUCCCCUGACGUUAGCGGCGGACGGGUGAGUAACACGUGGAUAACCUACCUAUAUGACUGGGAUAACUUCGGGAAACCGGAGCUAAUACCAGAUAAUAUAUUCAACCGCAUGGUUCAAUAGUUAAAGACGGUUUUGCUGUCACUUAUAGAUGGAUCCGCGCCGCAUUAGCUAGUUGGUAAGGUAACGGCUUACCAAGGCAACGAUGCGUAGCCGACCUGAGAGGGUGAUCGGCCACACUGGAACUGAGACACGGUCCAGACUCCUACGGGAGGCAGCAGUAGGGAAUCUUGCGCAAUGGGCGAAAGCCUGAUGGAGCAACGCCGCGUGAGUGAUGAAGGUCUUCGGAUUGUAAAACUCUGUUAUUAGGGAAGAACAAAUGUGUAAGUAACUAUGCAUGUCUUGACGGUACCUAAUCAGAAAGCAACGGCUAACUACGUG
rnacentral:rRNA from 1 species